rnacentral:rRNA from 1 species
ACACGACUACAUUAGAUACCCGUGUAGUCCUAGCCGUAAACGAUACUCGCUAGGUGUCGGCCACGGUGCGACCGUUGUCGGUGCCGUAGGGAAGCCGUGAAGCGAGCCACCUGGGAAGUACGGCCGCAAAGGCUGAAACUUAAAGGAAUUGGCGGGGGAGCACAACAACGGGUGGAGCUUGCGGUUUAAUUGGACUCAACGCCGGGAAGCUCACCGGAUAAGACAGCGGAAUGAUUGCCGGGCUGAAGACCCUGCAUGACCAGCUG